rnacentral:rRNA from 1 species
AAGAACGAACGCUGGCGGCAUGCCUAACACAUGCAAGUCGAACGAGACCUUCGGGUCUAGUGGCGCACGGGUGCGUAACGCGUGGGAACCUGCCUUUAGGUUCGGAAUAACUCAGAGAAAUUUGAGCUAAUACCGGAUAAUGUCUUCGGACCAAAGAUUUAUCGCCUUUAGAUGGGCCCGCGUUGGAUUAGCUAGUUGGUGGGGUAAAGGCCUACCAAGGCGACGAUCCAUAGCUGGUCUGAGAGGAUGAUCAGCCACACUGGGACUGAGACACGGCCCAGACUCCUACGGGAGGCAGCAGUGGGGAAUAUUGGACAAUGGGCGAAAGCCUGAUCCAGCAAUGCCGCGUGAGUGAUGAAGGCCUUAGGGUUGUAAAGCUCUUUUACCCGAGAUGAUAAUGACAGUAUCGGGAGAAUAAGCUCCGGCUAACUCCGUG